rnacentral:rRNA from 2 species
UAGGGAAUCUUCCGCAAUGGACGAAAGUCUGACGGAGCAACGCCGCGUGAGUGAUGAAGGCUUUCGGGUCGUAAAACUCUGUUGUUAGGGAAGAACAAGUGCUAGUUGAAUAAGCUGGCACCUUGACGGUACCUGACCAGAAAGCCACGGCUAACUACGUGCCAGCAGCCGCGGUAAUACGUAGGUGGCAAGCGUUAUCCGGAAUUAUUGGGCGUAAAGCGCGCGCAGGUGGUUUCUUAAGUCUGAUGUGAAAGCCCACGGCUCAACCGUGGAGGGUCAUUGGAAACUGGGAGACUUGAGUGCAGAAGAGGAAAGUGGAAUUCCAUGUGUAGCGGUGAAAUGCGUAGAGAUAUGGAGGAACACCAGUGGCGAAGGCGACUUUCUGGUCUGUAACUGACACUGAGGCGCGAAAGCGUGGGGAGCAAACAGG